CUACGCACAGCCUCACUGUGAGGUAAGGCUGUGACUUGCGGGUUUUGGGAAGACACAGCUCAGUCUAUGUUUUCCCAGUGCCUGCUUUGUUCAGAGGGUCUGGCCGGUGGUCCGUGUAGAUGCAGACAUCGCUAGCAUGGCGUUUUCAGCCACAUGGUGCCCGCUUCCUUUGUAAUCCAGGACUUUGCUUCUGCCGAAGGUCACCCCCUUUGGAGGGUGAUUCCCACGGAGGAGAAACGGGAAGGCAGCAAGCUUUGAUCUGGUGUGGGCAGGCAGGGAAGGGAGAAGGGAUAUCCCUCAAAGAGUCCCCACUGUGGGCAGCCUCUGCUCCCCACCCUACCCCCACCCCCAUUGCCACCUUAGAAAAGUCCGUGUCAUCCAUGUGGUCCUGGUGAUCGAGUCUGUUCAGAGCUCCGUGGGUCUGUAGCUGCUGAGAAGGGCCUAUUUCUGUUCUGGAGACGAAAGACCAACGGUGCAGGUGUACAAAAGCAUGAGGACACCAGCACGAAGAAGGGGCUAUCGGUGGCAGCAUCACCUCCCUCCUCCCAGCCUGGCUCCCUCCUGCUUCCCCUGAAUUCUAGAAAGGACGCUGGGCUGCUGGGCCGCCAGCUGCCUGCUGUUCCUCCUGAUUCAUCGCAGCCCAGGUUCUGGCCUCCUGCACAGAAGCAACCCCAGACUCCAGAACUCCAGACUCCAACCCCAGAAGCACGUCCUGACUCGGCUGGUCAGACGUCCGGUGCUUGAGAUCAAAUCCCAACCCCAUCGCUGUUUUGCUGUGAGAUGCUGGGGAGAGUGGGGUGUGUGGAGGAGACUAGAAGACAGCUGAUUGUGAGCUCUGCAGCUUGGGAGUGUGACUGUGGGAAGGUGACUUCAAGGAUGGGUGUCGCCAACCCCACCCCUUGCCUGCUCUUUUGGUUCUAAAAGGCCAGCCAUCAGAGACCACCGCAGCAGCAGCAGCAGCCCUAGGAAGUGGUGACAGACAGACUCAUGAGCAUUUUGAAAAAGUUGACAGAGGAGAAGGAGCGGAGAAGGAUGAAAGGUUGAGCCAACCUCCAUCCUCAUCGAACCUCAGAAAGGAAGUGCGACCAGAAAUCCUCUGAGUUCCCUCUGCUGAACAGCGGGACAGGGAGUGCACGGAGGACUCGGUGCACCUGAGUGCAUGCAUACAAGCCGUGUGGGUGCUGGAGCCUGCAGGGGUCAGAAGAUUGGUGGGAGCCAUUGGAACUGGAGUUCCAGGUGGAUGUGAGCCAGCCUGGGUGCUGGGAGCUGGACCCUCCUUCCUCUGCAAGAGAGCAACGUGUACUCUUAACUGCUGGGCUUUCUCUCAUUCGCACAGGACCUCUUCUGAGCUGGGCUGCACCUGGGAUGAAGCAGCAGGACCAUAAAGGGACCAGCGCCAUGAGUCAGGGCUUGAAGCAUAAUUGCACAUAAUUAAAUAUUUAAAUGUUGCCACGGGACUGGGGGAGACAUUUCUUCAGGUAAAGGCACUUGUCCUGAAAGCCUAGAGACUCGAGCUCAUCCCUGGAACCCAUGUAAAGGUGGAAAUUGUUCUCUGACCUCCACGUGUGUGCCAGCACCAAAUGAUAUUUUUUUUCAAAAGUUGCCACUUAGUCGUGUGGCGUGAUGCUAGCCAGAAAUGGAAAGAGCAGAGGCAUAGAUACGGUCAGCAACAAAGGACCUUCAAAGCGUUCGUAGAGAAAGAAGCCAGAGGCUAACAGAAUUCUAGAAAUCCAAGACAGGAACUGUGGUGGCCCCAGGCCAUGAUGGGUGGACUGGAGAGGACUGGGGGGCGCAUCUCCUCCUCUCUCUUGCACUCUUUCACGGGCUACUCUACUCGCAAGUCCUGUGCUGGAAGCUGCAAGGCAUGAUCUUCAAACCCUUCUGGAAUUUAGACCGCACAUCCUUGGACAUUGUGAGCCAGGAGAUGGUGCUCCUGUGUGGAGGUGGACACGAGGGAAGCAGGGCAGAAAGUCGCCCCUACCUGAAGCAUCCAGAGUCUCUGCUGGACUCAGUAGGGUCUCUGCAUUAGUUCUAGGAGCAAAUCUUGUCUGCUGAAUACUUGAGAGGAGGAUCCUGUCCUCUCCUUCCCUCAUUCUCUUCCAACCAGCCAGGACCAGCAAGCCAAGUGCAGGCUCUCGGAGCCCGUGUCCCAUUUCGAAGUCUGUUUACUCUGCAAAAUUAAUCCCUUGGAUGCCUGGAGAAACAGGACUCAUAUUAAACAAAGACCUGACUCUGGAUUCUGCACACUAAGCUUUGCGGUGGAAGCUUUUAGUGUACGCAGUCAGGAAAACAAUGCCCUAGGCUCAGCUUGUGCAUCCUCUGUGCGUGACCUCUGAGGUAUGGGGGCACAGCCUUCAAUACAUCAUAGUAAUGGGUCACAUGCAUGCCUUCCAGAUGUGAUGCUACAACCACAGUGGAGAAAGAGACCCAGUGGUAGUUUGGAAUAAGUGGCUAGGAUCAAACAACCAUCACUGUUGAACAAGAUCGUGUGUGUGUGUGUGUGUGUGUGUGUGUGUGUGUGUGUGUUCAUUUGUGUGUAUGUAUAUGUAUGUGUGUCUGUCUUUGUGUGUAUGUGUGUGUGUGUGGUUUUUUUUAAAGAAUUAUUUAUUAUAUAUAAGUACACUGUAGCUGUCUUCAGACACACCAGAAGAGGGCAUCAGCUCUCAUUACAGAUGGUUGUGAGCCACCGUGCAGUUGCUGGGAAUUGAACUCAGGACCUCUGGAAGAGCAAUCAGUGCUCUUAACCUCUUUGCCAUCUCUCCAGCCCCCUUUGUGUGCAUGCCUCUCUCUCUCUCUCUCUCUUUCUCUCUCUCUCUCUCUCUCUCUCUCUCUGUGUGUGUGUGUGUGUGUGUGUGUGUGUGUGUGUGUUUGUCUCUACCAAGGUCUUCCUAGGAAGCCUGUGAAGCCACUAAGUACUGGGAUGUAGCUUGGUCGUUGGAGCACUUGCACAGAGGAGGCCCUGAGUUUGAUCCCUAGCACUGCACAAACCAGACAAAGUGGCACAGGCCUGUGAUCCUAGCACUCAGUCACUUAAGAAUUGGGGGGGGGGGCAGGAUGAUCAAGAGAUUGAGGCUGUGGUGGUUUGAAUGAGAAUGACCCCCCAUAGGCUCAUCUGAAUGCUUGGUCUACAGCUGGUGGAACCAUUUGGGAAGGAUUAGGGGGCGUGGCCUUUCUGCAGAAGGUGCAUUACUGAAGGUGAGCAUAGAGGUUUCCAAAGCCCACGUCAUCCUCAGUUAGCUCUUUGCCU
ensembl:lncRNA